UAUACUGUUUACCAUUCUAGUUUUAACAAUAUAAACAUAAUAUUAAACCAAAACUAUACCAAUUACAACCCAAUAGAACCAAUUAACCCAAAUAUAUUCACCCACAUCCGAUUACAGUCACUAAAAUUCUUAAAAUUAAAAUUUCUCAAAAUUAAAAAUCUUCAAAUCAGCGAUGAUAUCUGAUCAUCUUUGUCCACCUCUGCUCUCCCUCUCCUCUGCGCAUCCACCCCUCUCCUCCGCCUUCUCUUCAUACACAACCUCUUUUCUCCACCUCUGUAACAAAGAUUGGCGGCGGAAAUAUGACCAUAAAAUCGAAAUCCACAUCUUUAACCUUCAGCCGUUGCGGAAGAGCUAGGUUAAGGAAUGGCUCAUACUAAAUCUAGUCGUGUUCUCCAUCAUGGUAAUCCCUUGAUUAUCUAAAUCAUGUAAGAAGAACAUGUUCCCGUCAAGUUCCACGACGCAACAAUAAAUCCGUAAUGCCAUUGCUUUUACCAAUGUUGAAACCCAAUCAGUCUCAUCAGAGAACAGAGACACUUCAAUUCCAUGGAUUACAGCCACAACCGCACAUCCUCCUCCGUUCAGAUUGCUCAAAAAUCCUAAUUUCAAUUUUCUGUGUGACAACAACGUUAUAUCUGUCUUCACUCUUUUCUUUCUCUGGAAAUUCUAUAGGUUUAAAAAAAAUCUCGUAGGCAGAAUUGUUAUAUUCUUGUAGAACAAAACAAGGUGUAACAGAUUUAAGCUUGUGAACGGAAUAAAGUUUAAGAAAUUUUAAAUCCCAAUCGAGAGAAGUUCGAUACAGGGGAAGAAGAAAAUGAAAAAAGAUGGUUUAAGUUGUAGUGUCAAUGUAUUAAAAUCUUAAACUUAAGGGGUUAAUAUCCAAAAUCAUAAAUCUCGGUUUAGUGUCGAGUUUGAAUAUAUGUUUUUAAUUGAGUGUGUUACCUCUUAGGGGACU
rnacentral:lncRNA from 1 species